GACGUAGGGCGCGAGCGUUGUCCGGAUUGAUUGGGCGUAAAGAGCUCGUAGGCGGCUCGUUGCGUCGGCUGUGAAAACCCGCAGCUCAACUGUGGGCCUGCAGCUGAUACGGGCGUGCUGGAGUUCGGUAGGGGAGACUGGAAUUCCUGGUGUAGCGGUGAAAUGCGCAGAUAUCAGGAGGAACACCGGUGGCGAAGGCGGGUCUCUGGGCCGAUACUGACGCUGAGGAGCGAAAGCGUGGGGAGCGAACAGG
rnacentral:rRNA from 1 species